UUAACAACAGAAUAUGAAGAAGAUACAUUAGAGGGAUUCAAAUAGUUCAGUGGUAAUUUGAGGUCACUGAUGGCGUUUAUGUUUUAUUAAAGGAGAAAAUAACAAAUAUGCUAAUGUCACGACUUAAUGGUUAGGCUUAGAAAUCAGUUUUUUUUAAAUGUUCCCACCACUCCGCUGUUUUAGUAACACCACUGGGAACAAAACUAAUCAAACAUCUCUGUAUAUUCAUUUAAAAUCAUUGAGUUAACUCCUCCCCUGCUCUGUGGAAGAUGAUGUGAGGUUUCCAAACGAUAUCCAGCAGUCUGCGCUGACGAUCGAUCUCUUCCUCGUACUCGACGAUAGUUCUUUUAAAAACUACAAAAAUGUCUUCCGCAGCAGCCGUUAGUCGCUGGUUGAUAAACUCUCUCAGACUCUCAGCUGAACACAUUGUUGUGGUUUUAUUAAACUUUAAAAAAAGAUGAACUAGGACAACAGGAAAGUCUGAGAGGAAAUGUAGCUGCGUUCAGAUCUGGUGCUCGCGCUGUUUACUUCCGCUGUGUGUCACACUAUAAAGUAUCCUACCGACGGUGGAGGUGCGGCAGCCUUUUGUUCCGCUUUCUGUGGAUUUAUUUUGUUCAAAACAUGUUUUUAUUAUCAGAAACAAGACGUAAAAAACUUCUCUUUAUUAAAAAAACUAGAUUAUAUUGUUCAGUGAGUUACUAUGGUUACAGAUAGACAGAAAGUGCGUUAUUAAGGUUAGCCUACAGGGACAGUGAGUUACAUAGAUACUUUAUUGAUACAGAGGGAAAUUCUAUAAUUACUAAAGUUACACAGGGACAGACUGUUACCAUGGUAACAUGAACAGUGGUUUACUAAGGGUACAGGGACAGUGAGUUACUUUAUGAGUUACUUUAGUUACAGGGACUGUUACUAUGGUAACCGGGACAGGCUGUGUCUGUCUGGAAUAUGCUCCAAUCUGCUUUUUUUUGUCCACAAUGAAACUAAAAUAAUGACAUGAAUUAUAUACUGAACUAAAGUCUAUAUUUACUGUGUCAUCCAAAACUUCGGGUCGGCUUCAUGAAUUAAAUCAUGAGGAAUUAACUUUUCCUCGAUGGGACCUGGAGCCUGAUGAACAUCUGAAAACAAACGACUCAAGAGGACAAAAACAUAAACAUCAGAAAAUAACACCAACUUCAUGUUUGAGUCAAAUUAAGUUUAAUUUCAAAGAAGAUUAAUGUACAGCCUUAAUAAAAUCCCCACUGUGAUAUUUAAUAAACAGAAGUGGUUGAUGUUAUUUAAUGCAACAUGGCCGUCGUAUAAGAGGCGGAUUGGAAGCAGUGAAACUUUGUGUUGACAUGGUGUCAGUUAUUUAAAAAGUAAAUCACUUGUAGAAUAUAGAGACAUUAUUUGAGUGAAUUAUCAAGAGUAACACACAUGAACAACAUGACAGAAAGAUCACUGUGUCUGGGUUUACACCAAGAGCAGAAACACCAGCCCAUCUUAAAACACGGGGUUAAUUAGAUCAGACGAGGAACUCGUAGAGAAUGUGUUGAAGAAAUGUGGAGAACAUGUUCCCUCUAAAGUGAAGAA